UACGAAGGGGGCUAGCGUUGCUCGGAAUCACUGGGCGUAAAGCGCACGUAGGCGGAUUGUUAAGUCAGGGGUGAAAUCCUGGAGCUCAACUCCAGAACUGCCUUUGAUACUGGUGAGCUUGAGUCCGGGAGAGGUGAGUGGAACUGCGAGUGUAGAGGUGAAAUUCGUAGAUAUUCGCAAGAACACCAGUGGCGAAGGCGGCUCACUGGCCCGGUACUGACGCUGAGGUGCGAAAGCGUGGGGAGCAAACAGG
rnacentral:rRNA from 1 species